AUGGGGGGUCGUGCCUUCCCGGUGAGCUUGAGGGCUUAAACGGACGCGGUAAAGCGUGCUAAGGUAGCUAAAUUAUGGCCUAUUAAUUGUAGGUCCUGUGAAUGGUUUGACGAGUUUUUAACUGUCUCUGGUUUGUUUUGGUGAAUUUGAAUUGGAAGUGCAAAUGCUUUCGUGAGUGAGAAAGACGAGAAGACCCCGUGAAGUUAGAAAUUUUAGUUGUUGCAGGUCUAGUAGUCAUAUAUUCAUCUGCUAUGUUUAGUUAUAUUUGUAUCUCUGUGUACGUGGAGAUUGAUUAUAUAGGGGCGUAGGUUUAAGGUGGGUGUGUGGCUGUGGUGGGAUAUAAAGGAAAGCUUUAUUGUUGUAGACAAAAUAAUGUCAGUUUUGGCUGGGGCAGCAAAGGAGCAAGAUAAGACUCCUUUAAUAUUUUGAGCUGGUGAGCAACGACCCACAAGUAAAAAAGUGUGAUUAGCAGAAGAAGUUACUCCGGGGAUAACAGCGUAAUCUGUCUUGAUAGUUCUUAUAGAUGGGCAGGUUUGCGACCUCGAUGUUGGCUCCUGAUAUCCUAAGGCUUGCAGGCGGUCUUUAGGGUUGGUUCGUUCGCCCAUUAAAAUCU
rnacentral:rRNA from 1 species